rnacentral:rRNA from 1 species
AACGAACGCUGGCGGCAUGCCUAACACAUGCAAGUCGAACGGGAUCCUGGCUUCGGUCAGGUGAGAGUGGCGGACGGGUGAGUACCGCGUGGGAACCUGCCCAGUGGUGGGGGAUAACUGCGGGAUACUGCAGCUAAUACCGCAUGAGCCCGAGAGGGGAAAGAUUUAUCGCCAUUGGAGGGGCCCGCGUUCGAUUAGGUAGUUGGUGAGGUAACGGCUCACCAAGCCGACGAUCUGUAGCGGGUCUGAGAGGAUGAUCCGCCACACUGGGACUGAGACACGGCCCAGACUCCUACGGGAGGCAGCAGUGGGGAAUAUUGGACAAUGGGGGGAACCCUGAUCCAGCCAUGCCGCGUGUGUGAAGAAGGCCUUUUGGUUGUAAAGCACUUUAAGCGAGGAGGAGGCUACCGAGAUUAAUACUCUUGGAUAGUGGACGUUACUCGCAGAAUAAGCACCGGCUAACUCUGUGCCAGCCGCCGCCGUAA